UACGUAGGGUGCAAACGUUGUUCGGAAUUACUGGGCGUAAAGCGCGUGUAGGCGGCUCGGAAAGUCGGAUGUGAAAGCCCUGGGCUUAACCUAGGAAGUGCAUUCGAAACUCCCGAGCUUGAGUUCUGGAGAGGAAGGCGGAAUUCUCGGUGUAGAGGUGAAAUUCGUAGAUAUCGAGAGGAACACCGGUGGCGAAGGCGGCCUUCUGGACAGUGACUGACGCUGAGACGCGAAAGCGUGGGGAGCAAACGGG
rnacentral:rRNA from 1 species